AGGGAACAGAAUAAAAAUGCAACUGCAAUAGGAAACAACAUACAAAACUCAAACAAUAAACUAGAGAACUUCUGGGAAAGUAUAAAAAAGCAAGGAAUACAAACAGCCUCAUAUAUAAAAAAGUUUUCAGUUUCAUUCAACUUUAUUUACACAGCGCCAAAUCACAACAACAGUCGCUUCAAGGUGCUUUAUAUUGUACAGUAAACCCUACAAUAACACAUACUGAGAAAAACCCAACAAUCAUAUGACCCCCUAUGAGCAGCACUUUGGCAACAGUGGGAAGGAAAAACUCCCUUUUAACAGGAAGAAACCUCCAGCAGAACCAGGCUCAGGGAGGGGCGGGGCCAUCUGCUGUGAUUGGUUGGGGUGAGAGAAGGAAGACAGGAUAAAGACAUGCUGUGGAAGAGAGACAGAGGUUAAUAACGGAUAUGAUUCAAUGCAGAGAGGUCUAUUAAUACAUAGUGAGUGAGAAAGGUGACUGGAAAGGAAAAACUCAAUGCAUCAUGGGAAUCCUCGGCAGCCUACGUCUAUUGCAGCAUAACUAAGGGAGGAUUCAGGGUCACCUGGUCCAGCCCUAACUAUAUGCUUUAGCAAAAAGGAAAGUUUGAAGCCUAAUCUUAAAAGCAGAAAAGAGCUGAGGAAAGCCCCAGGCCCCGCCAAGCAGCCCCCGGGAGUGAGCCAGUACAAACCCGAACAUCCAGCCCUGGACACCGAGAACCAUCAAUGCACCAACGGACAGAAGGAAGAAAUCUUGGAACCAAAGACAAAACUUCCCACACGUUUUAAAGAGCCAGCAGGUAGAAUGGGAGCAGAGCAGGAGCAUCCUUAUAAUAAGAAAGUACCAGUGACCAAGUCUAUGAAAUGACAAAGCAGAACAUCCAUACAUCUUUUAAUGGUAAAUGGACUGACUCUUAUGCAGCACCUUUCUACUCUCCAGGAGAAAUCAAAGUGCUUUACACAACAAGCCUCGCUCAUACA
ensembl:lncRNA